rnacentral:rRNA from 1 species
AGUUAAAAAGCUCGUAGUUGGAUUUCUGUGUGGGUGAGGCGGCCGGCCACUCGUGGUUGUAGCUAGUUAUCACCUGUACAUCUUGUCACAAGCCACGCUGGUCUUAAUUGAUUGGCGCUGGGGACUGACUCGUUUACUUUGAGAAAAUUAGAGUGUUCAAAGCAGGCUAUCGCCUUGAAUAUAUUAGCAUGGAAUAAUGAUAUAGGACUUUGGUUCUAUUUUGUUGGUUGUUCGAGAACCGAAGUAAUGAUUGAUAGGGACAGUUGGGGGCGUCAGUAUUCUGAAGCGAGAGGUGAAAUUCUUGGACCUUCGGAAGACUAACAACUGCGAAAGCAUUCGCCUAGGAUGUUCUCUUUAAUCAAGAACGAAAGUUGGGGGAUCGAAGACGAAUCAGAUACCGUCGUAGUCUCAACUAUAAACUAUGCCAGCUAGGGAUUGGUGGACGUUUAUCUACGACUCCAUCAGCACCUUAU